rnacentral:rRNA from 1 species
CUUGGGCAAUCUACCCUCGAGAGGGAAACAACCAGCCGAAAGGCUAGCUAAUGUCCCAUAAGACCACAGGGAUGCAUAUCCUAGAGGUCAAAGCUCCGCAAGGGGCGCUUGAAGAGGAGCCCGAGUCCUAUCAGGUAGUUGGUGAGGUAACGGCUCACCAAGCCUAUGACGGGUAGCCGGCCUGAAAGGGCGAUCGGCCACACUGGCACUGAGACACGGGCCAG